UAGGGAAUCUUCCACAAUGGAACGCAAGUCUGAUGGAGCAACGCCGCGUGAGUGAAGAAGGUCUUCGGAUCGUAAAACUCUGUUGUUAGAGAAGAACACGAGUGAGAGUAACUGUUCAUUCGAUGACGGUAUCUAACCAGCAAGUCACGGCUAACUACGUGCCAGCAGCCGCGGUAAUACGUAGGUGGCAAGCGUUGUCCGGAUUUAUUGGGCGUAAAGGGAACGCAGGCGGUCUUUUAAGUCUGAUGUGAAAGCCUUCGGCUUAACCGGAGUAGUGCAUUGGAAACUGGAAGACUUGAGUGCAGAAGAGGAGAGUGGAACUCCAUGUGUAGCGGUGAAAUGCGUAGAUAUAUGGAAGAACACCAGUGGCGAAAGCGGCUCUCUGGUCUGUAACUGACGCUGAGGUUCGAAAGCGUGGGUAGCAAACAGGAUUAGAUACCCUGGUAGUCCACGCCGUAAACGAUGAAUGCUAGGUGUUGGAGGGUUUCCGCCCUUCAGUGCCGCAGCUAACGCAAUAAGCAUUCCGCCUGGGGAGUACGACCGCAAGGUUG
rnacentral:rRNA from 1 species